GGUUAAGCGACUAAGCGUACACGGUGGAUGCCCUGGCAGUCAGAGGCGAUGAAGGACGUGCUAAUCUGCGAAAAGCGUCGGUAAGGUGAUAUGAACCGUUAUAACCGGCGAUGUCCGAAUGGGGAAACCCAGUGCAAUUCGUUGCACUAUCGUUAACUGAAUACAUAGGUUAACGAGGCGAACCGGGGGAACUGAAACAUCUAAGUACCCCGAGGAAAAGAAAUCAACCGAGAUUCCCCCAGUAGCGGCGAGCGAACGGGGAGCAGCCCAGAGUCUGAAUCAGCUUGUGUGUUAGUGGAACGGUCUGGAAAGUCCGACGGUACAGGGUGAUAGUCCCGUACACCAAAAUGCACAGGCUGUGAACUCGAAGAGUAGGGCGGGACACGUGGUAUCCUGUCUGAAUAUGGGGGGACCAUCCUCCAAGGCUAAAUACUCCUGACUGACCGAUAGUGAACCAGUACCGUGAGGGAAAGGCGAAAAGAACCCCGGCGAGGGGAGUGAAAAAGAACCUGAAACCGUGUACGUACAAGCAGUGGGAGCACCUUCGGGUGUGACUGCGUACCUUUUGUAUAAUGGGUCAGCGACUUAUAUUCUGUAGCAAGGUUAACCGUAUAGGGGAGCCGCAGGGAAACCGAGUCUUAACUGGGCGUUAAGUUGCAGGGUAUAGACCCGAAACCCGGUGAUCUAGCCAUGGGCAGGUUGAAGGUUGGGUAACACUAACUGGAGGACCGAACCGACUAAUGUUGAAAAAUUAGCGGAUGACUUGUGGCUGGGGGUGAAAGGCCAAUCAAACCGGGAGAUAGCUGGUUCUCCCCGAAAGCUAUUUAGGUAGCGCCUCGUGAACUCAUCUUCGGGGGUAGAGCACUGUUUCGGCUAGGGGGUCAUCCCGACUUACCAACCCGAUGCAAACUACGAAUACCGAAGAAUGUUAUCACGGGAGACACACGGCGGGUGCUAACGUCCGUCGUGAAGAGGGAAACAACCCAGACCGCCAGCUAAGGUCCCAAAGUCAUGGUUAAGUGGGAAACGAUGUGGGAAGGCACAGACAGCCAGGAUGUUGGCUUAGAAGCAGCCAUCAUUUAAAGAAAGCGUAAUAGCUCACUGGUCGAGUCGGCCUGCGCGGAAGAUGUAACGGGGCUAAACCAUGCACCGAAGCUGCGGCAGCGACACUAUGUGUUGUUGGGUAGGGGAGCGUUCUGUAAGCCUGCGAAGGUGUGCUGUGAGGCAUGCUGGAGGUAUCAGAAGUGCGAAUGCUGACAUAAGUAACGAUAAAGCGGGUGAAAAGCCCGCUCGCCGGAAGACCAAGGGUUCCUGUCCAACGUUAAUCGGGGCAGGGUGAGUCGACCCCUAAGGCGAGGCCGAAAGGCGUAGUCGAUGGGAAACAGGUUAAUAUUCCUGUACUUGGUGUUACUGCGAAGGGGGGACGGAGAAGGCUAUGUUAGCCGGGCGACGGUUGUCCCGGUUUAAGCAUGUAGGCUGGUUAUCCAGGCAAAUCCGGAUAAUCAAGGCUGAGGUGUGAUGACGAGGCACUACGGUGCUGAAGUAACAAAUGCCCUGCUUCCAGGAAAAGCCUCUAAGCAUCAGGUAACAUCAAAUCGUACCCCAAACCGACACAGGUGGUCAGGUAGAGAAUACCAAGGCGCUUGAGAGAACUCGGGUGAAGGAACUAGGCAAAAUGGUGCCGUAACUUCGGGAGAAGGCACGCUGGUGUGUAGGUGAAGCCCCUGCGGGUGGAGCUGAGACCAGUCGAAGAUACCAGCUGGCUGCAACUGUUUAUUAAAAACACAGCACUGUGCAAACACGAAAGUGGACGUAUACGGUGUGACGCCUGCCCGGUGCCGGAAGGUUAAUUGAUGGGGUUAUCCGUAAGGAGAAGCUCUUGAUCGAAGCCCCGGUAAACGGCGGCCGUAACUAUAACGGUCCUAAGGUAGCGAAAUUCCUUGUCGGGUAAGUUCCGACCUGCACGAAUGGCGUAAUGAUGGCCAGGCUGUCUCCACCCGAGACUCAGUGAAAUUGAACUCGCUGUGAAGAUGCAGUGUACCCGCGGCAAGACGGAAAGACCCCGUGAACCUUUACUAUAGCUUGACACUGAACAUUGAGCCUUGAUGUGUAGGAUAGGUGGGAGGCUUUGAAGCGUGGACGCCAGUCUGCGUGGAGCCAACCUUGAAAUACCACCCUUUAAUGUUUGAUGUUCUAACGUUGGCCCCUGACCGGGGUUGCGGACAGUGUCUGGUGGGUAGUUUGACUGGGGCGGUCUCCUCCCAAAGCGUAACGGAGGAGCACGAAGGUUAGCUAAUCCUGGUCGGACAUCAGGAGGUUAGUGCAAUGGCAUAAGCUAGCUUGACUGCGAGCGUGACGGCGCGAGCAGGUGCGAAAGCAGGUCAUAGUGAUCCGGUGGUUCUGAAUGGAAGGGCCAUCGCUCAACGGAUAAAAGGUACUCCGGGGAUAACAGGCUGAUACCGCCCAAGAGUUCAUAUCGACGGCGGUGUUUGGCACCUCGAUGUCGGCUCAUCACAUCCUGGGGCUGAAGUAGGUCCCAAGGGUAUGGCUGUUCGCCAUUUAAAGUGGUACGCGAGCUGGGUUUAGAACGUCGUGAGACAGUUCGGUCCCUAUCUGCCGUGGGCGCUGGAGAAUUGAGGGGGGCUGCUCCUAGUACGAGAGGACCGGAGUGGACGCAUCACUGGUGUUCGGGUUGUCAUGCCAAUGGCACUGCCCGGUAGCUAAAUGCGGAAGAGAUAAGUGCUGAAAGCAUCUAAGCACGAAACUUGCCCCGAGAUGAGUUCUCCCUGAGACUUUAAGUCUCCUGAAGGAACGUUGAAGACGACGACGUUGAUAGGCCGGGUGUGUAAGCGCAGCGAUGCGUUGAGCUAACCGGUACUAAUGAACCGUGAGGCUUAACCUU
rnacentral:rRNA from 1 species